UGGGGGAAUUUUGGACAAUGGGCGAAAGCCUGAUCCAGCAAUGCCGCGUGUGUGAAGAAGGCCUUCGGGUUGUAAAGCACUUUUGUCCGGAAAGAAAUCCUUGGCUCUAAUACAGUCGGGGGAUGACGGUACCGGAAGAAUAAGCACCGGCUAACUACGUGCCAGCAGCCGCGGUAAUACGUAGGGUGCAAGCGUUAAUCGGAAUUACUGGGCGUAAAGCGUGCGCAGGCGGUUUGCUAAGACCGAUGUGAAAUCCCCGGGCUCAACCUGGGAACUGCAUUGGUGACUGGCAGGCUAGAGUAUGGCAGAGGGGGGUAGAAUUCCACGUGUAGCAGUGAAAUGCGUAGAGAUGUGGAGGAAUACCGAUGGCGAAGGCAGCCCCCUGGGCCAAUACUGACGCUCAUGCACGAAAGCGUGGGGAGCAAACAGGAUUAGAUACCCUGGUAGUCCACGCCCUAAACGAUGUCAACUAGUUGUUGGGGAUUCAUUUCCUUAGUAACGUAGCUAACGCGUGAAGUUGACCGCCUGGGGAGUACGGUCGCAAGAUUAAAACUUAAAUGAAUUGACGGGGUCAUAGCUGUUU
rnacentral:rRNA from 1 species